AAGAACAAUGCCACCAUCCUCUCUAUAUCACCAACUUGACCGUAAGCACUGAUGAUGCAAUUGAAAAAAGGAGUAUCUAGAACUACAUCUGAAUUCUCAACUUGCCUCAUGAUUGAAUCAACAUUUUCCAUAAGUGCAGCUCUACUAUACGCACUGACAAGAGAGCAAUAAGUGAAUGAACUUGGCUUCACCCCUUCAUGCUUCAUCUGUAGGAAAAACUGUUCCAUGUUCUUAAUGAGGCAAGCUUUCCCCAAUGUCUCAAUGAUGAUAUUGUAAGUCACAACUGUUGGAGAAUAGAACCAAUUCCUCAUGAAAUCAAGUACACACUCCAUUUUCUGGUACAUGCCAGCUCUUCCAUAUGACUUGAUUAAAAUGUUAAAUGUCAUAACAUCUGGCUUUAUUCCCAUUACCUGAAAUUCUUCAAACCACUUCUCCAUUUCCUCAAGCUUCCCACAGCUGCCAUAGGACCCAAUUACUGAAUUCAAGGUGAAAACAUCUGGAAAGGCAGUCUCAUUUUCUAUCAUAUCGGUCAAGGAGCAUUCCAUCUGCUCAAAUAGCUUAGCUUUACCAUAGCCAUCAAUUAUGGUAUUGUAUGUCACAGAACUACAUUCAAUUCCCAAAUACACCAUCUCAGCCAAAAUGUA
rnacentral:misc_RNA from 1 species